CUGUGACAAGCAGGUUCCGAGCCGGUGGCUGGCAGAGGCACCGUGGGCACUGCCGUGGGCACACCGCAGAGUGGGAGCCAGGCUGUGCUGGAGGCACCAGGCGUCUGGGGGUGGCCGCUGCCCCCGUAACCUGCCACGGCAGCUGGGCGUGGAUCUGCUGUGGCCACCGGAGCUGCUGGUGCGAAGCAAGUUGGGAGGGUGCUGAGCUGUGAGGACCAGCGUCCCAGCUGACUGCAAACCAUGAGGCUUCUCCCCCUGCUGCUUGUGCUGCUCUUAGGGAUCUGCCUGGCCCCUGCAGCGCGUGGCCAGCGCAUGACUCGGGAUCUCAGACACUGCCUGGAGAAAGGCGGGACGUGCCGCUAUAACGACUGCGAUGACGACGAAGUGGAGAUCGGCACCUGCUACCACCAUACCAUGAUAUGCUGCCGGGAUUAGGAGGGGAUGCUACCCCAGAGACAUCCCCUUCCCAGAUGCCACCAAAACGUCUGCUCCUUGUCUUCUUUUUUAAUUAAAAAUCAGCUGGUGUUAAA